CCCAAGAGAUCGGGAUAACACCUGGAAACAGAUGCUAAUACCGGAUAACAACAGAUGAUGCCUAUCAACUGUUUAAAAGAUGGUUCUGCUAUCACUCUUGGAUGGACCUGCGGUGCAUUAGCUAGUUGGUAGGGUAACGGCCUACCAAGGCGAUGAUGCAUAGCCGAGUUGAGAGACUGAUCGGCCACAUUGGGACUGAGACACGGCCCAAACUCCUACGGGAGGCAGCAGAC
rnacentral:rRNA from 1 species